AUUGAACGCUGGCGGCAUGCUUUACACAUGCAAGUCGAACGGUAACGCGGGCUUCGGCCUGGCGACGAGUGGCGAACGGGUGAGUAACACAUCGGAACGUGUCCUGGAGUGGGGGAUAGCCCGGCGAAAGCCGGAUUAAUACCGCAUACGCUCUGAGGAGGAAAGCGGGGGAUUCGCAAGGACCUCGCGCUGCGGGAGCGGCCGAUGUCGGAUUAGCUAGUUGGUGGGGUAAAGGCCCACCAAGGCGACGAUCCGUAGCUGGUCUGAGAGGAUGAUCAGCCACACUGGAACUGAGACACGGUCCAGACUCCUACGGGAGGCAGCAGUGGGGAAUUUUGGACAAUGGGGGCAACCCUGAUCCAGCCAUGCCGCGUGCGGGAAGAAGGCCUUCGGUUGUAACGCUUCGGCCGGAACGAAAUGGUUAGCACUAAUACUGCUGACUGAUGACGGUACCGGAAGAAGAAGCACCGGCUAACUACGUGCCAGCAGCCGCGGUAACACGUAGGGUGCGAGCGUUAAUCGGAAUUACUGGGCGUAAAGCGUGCGCAGGCGGCUUUUUAAGACAGGUGUGAAAAUCCCCGGGCGUUAACCUGGGGAAUUGCGCUUGUGACUGGAAGGCUGGAGUGCGGCAGAGGGGGAUGGAAUUCCACGUGUAGCAGUGAAAUUGCGUAGAGAUGUGGAGGAACACC
rnacentral:rRNA from 1 species